AGUAGAGAAGCAAAAAACAAAGAAAAAGGACUCAAAGAACACCACAAAAGACACAAUCCAAAAAGAAAAAGGUCAUUGUUGAGGAUUCAUCUCCUGAGAAGGCUCAAUCCUAUCAUGGAUCUGAAAUUGGAACUGAAGAAUUAGAAGAAUUCUU